CAAUGCUUGGUACCUGGAGCACCUCAGAUCUUUUCUGUUGGAAACCUGUAAUGAAGUGAAUCUUGUUCAUCACCUCAGCCUUCAAGAUGUCUAUCCACUUGCAGCUUACAGACUUGCAGGAAUGCGUGUGGUUACACUGAAAUGUUACAUUUGUUGUACAUUGUAGAGUCUAUCUUUUCCAUCUAUCAUAAACUGUAGGGUGUUGGUGAUUUUGUGAAUUGGCUUAUUUACAAAAAACGGAUGCCCACACAUCACUUGUUUUUGAGGGUUUGAGUAAUUUUGGUGCUUAAUGGAGGUAUAACCUUUAUUUUUUUUUAAAGACUAUUUUCUUCUCACUAGGCCACCUGACAUGGAUUCAGCAAUGCUCCGGGUCCUCUUUGGUCACAGAAUAGAGAAACUGACUCUUCCAUCCGGAAUACCAGAGACAAUGGAGGAGCUUAACUUGGUCAUCAAGCAGACAUUAAGUAUACCCGACGACUUCAGCCUGCAGUAUUUAGAUCCAGAUUUUGAUUACUUUACUCUCAACUCCACUGCUGAAAUUACACACAAAGCCACAAUUAAGGUUGUGACAAUCAAUCCAGUUGUUCUCAAUUUGUACCCAUUACCACUCAAUGACAGCUAUGAUGAAAGUUUCACCUCAGAGCAAUCCCAUGAUCCUGCCUCCACAAGUUCCACUGUAAAAGACUCCUGUGGCUCAUGUGAUUCAUCAUCUGAAAGCUCAGCCAUCAUGUCAGCAAGCAGCAGCCUACAAAAGAAACCAUGGCCAACUGAUUUGAUUAUUCCACGUUUCUCUGUUGAAACCGAAAUUAUUCUUGAAAGAGCAAAUGAAGUUUAUAGAAAAGAGGGCACACUGCUGACUAUGCCAAACAUCAAGUCAGACAUACUUGAAAAGCUAGCUCAGUCCAUUUAUACAUACACUCCCUAUCCAUCACUCCAGAAUUGUCUUUCUGUCACUGAAGCACUUAUCAAGACACACCCAUGUCUGAAGGAUCCGGGGAGCUCUUCAGGCAUCAUUGGUUGGCAGAAUAGUAUUAAAUACAAGAUGGAUAACUACAGAACCAAGUUAAGAGGCUUUGGUAUUCCAGAUGUUACAUGCAAUGCUCUAAAACAUAAAUGCCCUGCUGACAGGAAGUCUGCAAAAAAUGUGAAAAAGGCAAAAAGAGCAGAGGUCAAUUAUCUUCCACCCUACCCAGCUGGUGAAAAUGAGCAGAGCUUGGAGAAAGUAAGGGAAGAGCUGGUCACAGAGUCAAAAAAGAACAAUGAAAAUGUAGUCAAAGACCAAAUGAGCAAAACAUUUGCCCUCAGACGACAUGAAAUCAUCAAUCUGUGUCCAACUGUUCGAGCCAUGAAGGACCGCUGGCCUGCCCUGUUUGACCAUUCUCAAAAUGUUUAAAUAUGCAAAUAUUGUGGAGGGGGACUUCAGUACUCUGACAGUGGCAAAAGAUCAAUGCAGAAUUUCAAAGAACAACUACUGUACUUCUGGAACUGGAAUUUAUGUCUGCGUUAGACCGUCACACUCCCAAGCUACUGACGCUAUUUCGUGCCAAAGGUGGAGCACUUGGAAAAAGACUGGAGAUCAUAAUGGAACUGCUGCAGGACUCAGUGCCCUCUUCGACUGAGAGGACCAGAGAGGUUGUUCUUCGGUGUCUUAUAGAAUACCUUGGAGAACAAGGGGGACAUCUUAUCAAAGAAUUCAACGACACUGAGAACUUGGAGGAACUUGAACAGGUCAUAAUGGCCAUUACUGUGACCCCAAAGCCUGGAGCUUCUACAAGCAACAGCCCAAAGAACAUUGGGAUCGUCAUAGAGGGCAUGGAAGUCAUCACAGGACUUGGAGAUAUUGCAAGGGCUUGCUCUGUCCUCCUUGGCUUGACCUACGCGCUGAAUCUCGAUUAUCCCAGACAGCUGAAGUACACCUUUAAGGUGUUCCAAAAACUUUUCUUGGAACUGGAUGAUUCAAAGCUUUCAAACAAAGUCCAGUCCCUCAAGAGCAACCUUCAUCCUUGAAAUGAGACUGUAUUGCAGUGCAGACUUUUGUGCUACACAAUGUUCAUCUUCUGCAGAGCUUGAGAAUUGCACAUUUGAAAGUGCUAUGUUUGUAAGUUGGCACUGAUUUGUCCCACGAAUGUCGUGACAUUUCAAUUGUUGUAAGUUCAAAGUACAAAUGUAUUUUACUCUGUUCAAUUUGCACUUUUAUUAUUUAUGUUUUGGCACAUGCCAUUAUGGAGUAUUUUCCUUUAAGAUCUUUAUUGCUCUUUUUUUUUUUUUAAAUAGUUGAAGUCAGCAUUUUGUCCUUUACAAAGUUCUGGUUUGAAAUGCGUGAGCAAACUUCUGGUUUGAAAAUGAGACUGUGUAGCAAAACAUGUACACUGCAACUAAAAUGUUUAGCUUCUACAGAGCUUGGGAAUUGCACAUCUGAAAGUGCUACGUUUGUAAGUUAGCACUGAUUUGGACUCUUAUCCCACGAAUGUCAGUGAGAUUUCUAGUUCAAAGUACAAAAUGUUUUUUACUCCGUACAAAUUACACUUUUCUGCUUUUGUUUUGGUACAUGCACCUCUGGAGGAUUUUUCUUUAAGAUCAUUAUUGACCCAAUUUGGUGGCUAAGUGAGGUGAGAAAGCAUGGAAACCAGUUUAUGGACACAUCACCAUUCUGUAUGUCAUUUAUUUUUGUUUUUACAAAAUAGUUUAAAGUCAGCAUUCUGUCCUUUUCAAAUGUAUGGUUUGAAAUGCAAGAUCCAACUUCUGGCUUGAAAUGAGACUGUGGUUGCAGUGUACAAUGAUGUGCUACAAUGUGUCUAAAGCACAAAAGUCAAUUGUUAAUAAAAUUCUUAUUUGAGUAUUUAAGCUCUGUACUUUCUGGGCCAUAUUAUUCA